AUAGUUCUGGUUCAGGAAAAAAUUAAGUUGAAAUAUUCUGUGAGAUCACAAAGCUGGUCCUUUAAGCUGAUUGAUCUGUACUAAGAUAAAAACUGACACUUUCCUUCUUUCUAGAUAGUUUUGAGUUAAAGUCAAAAGGUCUAUGCUUUAUUGUUUCUUUCUUAUCUUAAAUCUACCUUCCCGUCUUAUCUUAUUGUUUCUUUCUUAUCUUAAAUCUACCUUCCAUGACUUUAGUUCUAUUGUGAGGUUUUGGUAUUGAGAGAGAGAGAUGGAAUAUAAUGCUAAUAUUACUUUUUUUGGGUUAUUUUGUUACUUACUUCUUAAUUCUGGACCUUAAGAUUAUUUUUUAAAUUAUUUCCAUAAAGUAAAAAGCUAAAAGAAAUAGUAUAAUAUGUUUUAAUGUUUUAAUAAUAGGAAAACAAUUUGAAUCAGAACUGUUGUAGCUGCAUUCUGGUCCCAUGUGAACAUAUCGAAGAAAUCAUGCAUAAAAUGAAAUUUUGACGCAGUGAUCUGGAUUCAAAUGCUGUGUUACCUAAUUGUGAUGAUGAAGAGAUUUCGUAUGUUUGUUUCUGUCCUGCUGGUAGAUGGAUCUGCAGAGGCUGAGUGAAAUGGAAAAUACAAGAAGAGUUCUGCUUUUAUAAAACCGAAGACCAUUCAUGCAAUGAGAAAAAUGGAGAAAGCAAUGUUCCAGUGAUAAGCUGAGUGCAUACAUGGUGGGAUCCAUCUUUGCAAACCCAACUGGAAAUCUCUAUUAAUUGGGAAAAAAACCCCAAACAAACAAAUACUCAACUAAUCAGCUGUACCAGAUUAUAGUAGCAUGCUUUCAAAAUCAAAUUGGAGAAGAGGAAGGGAAAACCCUUAACAAUUCAUGAAGCAGGGUGAAAUGGAACAGAAGGUGCAGCACUGGCAGACAGAACUCUCUGAACACCCAGGCUGACAGUGUCAGGAUUGCUGUCUGGGUCUAACAAAGGGGAAACACAUUUUACUGCAGUAGGACCGAUGUAUUGAUUUCCAGGAGCAUUGACAGGAGUCCUCAUUUUUUUCCAUGGAGGAAUAUUUACUUAUUCUCAUUAUGUAAGACCUUUUUGGAAAUGAGUUAAUGGAAAUCAUCAAGAAGCUGCAUGUGGUCUUAAACUUCAUGUUUACGUACCAAAAUGGCCUACCCUCCUAGCUGCUGUGGGCCAAUAAAAAUAACAUCAACCAGCAUCAUAACAUCAACAUCAAUACAAUGGCCUUUUUCCAGUGGGAGAAGCUCAGGAGAAGCCUGAGGUACAGGGUCUGAUAUUUUGACAGAAUCUCACAAAGGGUAAGGUUGGAAGUAACAACAAGGUGACAUCUGGUCCAGCCUCCCUGCUCCAGCAGGGUCACCCUAGAGCUCAUUGAAUAGAAUUGUGCCCAGACUGCUCCUAAAUGUCUCCAGUGAGGGAGAUCCAUAAUCUCUCCAGGCAAGAUUUUCCAAUGCACAGUCACCCACACAGUAAAGAAGUUCUACCUGAUGUUCAGGUGCAACUUCCUGUGCAUUUCUCUUGUCCCAUUGCUCAGCACCACCUUCAUCCACCUUCUUGACACUCUCCCUUCAAACAGGCAGUCAUUGUUGAGGUUCCCUCUCCUUUGGACUAAGCAGGUUAAGUUCCCUCAGUCUCUCCUCAUAAGUGAGGUGCUCCAGUCCCCUCAUCAUCUUUUUGUCUCUUUGCUGCACCACUUCAGGGGCUUCAUGUCUUUCUGGUCCUGAGGAGCCCAGAACUGGACACAGCACUACAGAUGUGCCUCACCAGGGCUGAGUAGAAGGACAGGAUCACCCCCCUCACCCUGCUGGCACUGCUCUUCCCAAUGCACCCCAGGACACCAUUGGCCUUCUUGGCCACCAGGACACACUGCUGGCUCAUGGACAGCUUGUUGUCCCCUAGGACCCCCAGAUCUUCCUCCUUAGAGCUGCUUUCCAGCAGAUCAGCCACAGCCUGUGCUGGUUCCUGGGGUUCUUUCUUCCCAGUGCAGGACCCUGCUUUUGGCUUUGCUGCUGGCAUGUUCUAAAUGUUAUGUGAGCACACUAAAAAGAGAAGACCAUCACAGCCCAUGGCAAGACUGUAUGAUGCUUUCUUUUCUCCCUUACAGUGACAACAGAAUGGUUACUGGAAUUGUCUAUUCCUAUGAAAAUAUCACUACUAUAUAAUCCUGAAGGAAAAGCUAUAGAUUUGGAAAUGACCCUUACUGAACGUCAGUAGUUACCCUUACUGAGGAAAAUGGAGCAAAUGGCCAAGGACACUCUUUUUGUAUGAUAUGGGCACUUUAAGAAACGGUAACCCAGUCACACAGGGGAAUUAGUCAGGAAAAGGCCCUAUUCCUGCCUCUUACGGAGCAGGACUUCACUGUGGAGAGACAUUUGAGAAUUUCGCCAUUCCAUCUACAGUCACCUGUGAUUCAAGCAACCCAUACAGAAUAUUUUUCCAUACCUGAAGCUUUAAAAUAUCUAAUCUUAGUUCUUCUUUAAUGGAAAACUUGAAGCUUUCAAGAACAAUACCAUCAUUCUAUAAUGAUCUUGUUGGCGUGAAAAUAUGCAAAAUUCACUAGUUUUGAUCCCUACUGUUUGUCUCCUUAAGUUCUUUGUCCAUCAUUCAACUUGGUUAUAAAUGAGGCAAAAAGGCAUUUAUAAGCUGGAUCAAAGAGAGGAAAGAGAUGGUUAAAAAUGUGUAUUUUCUCUACCUAUCUGCCUAAUUUUUACACUUUCCCCACCUUCAGGUGGAAAAAUAUUAUUUUCUGACAUUAUUAUUUUUCCUGAAAUUUUUCAUUGAGAUGAAUAUGACAAGCUUGGAAGAUAUUUUUAUGCUAGACUGUGGAUACUUUUGUUGUCAUAUUUUAACAAGGAGUUUUAAUGAUUCCUUCUUGAACAUGCUGAUUUUUUCUCAUCAACUCUGAACUUUUUCUUGGUUUUCAUAAAGAAAUUUCAGUCACUGUAGUAAUUUUGCAUUUGAAAUAAAGAGAUUUGAAAUAACCAGUAUCAGUGUUAAGUAAUUAGUGCCAUAAAAAGACUUAGCUCUUAAAGAGAAAGAAACAUCAGGAGUGCUUUAGGAAGAGGAAAGACAUUAUGAAUGAUAAAUCAGGACUUUUUGAUUAACAAUAACAUAGUGCAAGAAUGAAUUUGUGGAUAAAUAGAAAUAAAUGUGGCAAUUAUUUAAGAUAUAUUCAGCUUUGUGGAACUGUUUCCUCUAUUUGGCAUUUAGAACAAAGGUCCAGACAGUUUAGAUACAGAAUUUACUUAGAAAUUACACAUCCAGAAAAUUACACAUUCAAGUACACUGUCUGGCAGUGACAAUUUAAACAGGAAAAACCAAAAUAAAACCAUACUCAGGCAUGCACAAAUAAACCCCAAACCAAAAAACCAAAAAAACUAACCAACAAAAAGAAACCCCUGUAAACCCAGAGAAACAUGUUUAUGAUGUUUGGAAAACUGUGUAAAUUCUAUAUACAUAUUAAUCCAAUAUAUUUAGAUGUUAAUAACUUCUGUAAGCAAUAUGGUUUCUUAAAUGUCAGAGUAGGAUUUUUGAAAGACGUUUCUCUGGGGAAAAAAUAGUAAAAGCACAUUAAGAUUGACUUUGAGGUUGAAGAUGUAUGAGAACUGACAGGAAACUUAAGGUCAUGAAACUUGUUUAGCUGAAUGACACAGCAGUGUCUAAUUCAAUCUCUGUGUGCAUAAGAGAGGACCUCUAAGUGUAGAAGUUACCUAGAGAAUACCAGCCCACAAAACUCUUUUUCUUUGCUAUUCAUAAGUAUGUAUUGUAAAAUGAAAACUGAGAUUCUUUAUAUAAUCUGUGGAUUUUG